rnacentral:lncRNA from 1 species
CAAAAUGCAAAUUUAUCUCCUUACUAUUCUAUAAUUUUAUAUAAAAUACAGGCAUACCUCACUUUACAAUGUUUCACUUUCCAGUGCUUCACUAAGAUGGUUUUCAAUUCUGAGAAACUGAAUAUGAGAUCCAGAAUUGAACCUGUAUUCUCAAAAGUGGUGAACAAAUGUUUUAUACUGCGGCCAUCUGGCCAAGAUUUUAGGUCUAGCACUAUUAUAAUAAAUGUUUUUAGGCUUUUAUAUUCAAAACUAGGAAAUGAAAAUGCUACAAUUCAUUUUAUAGCAGUGGUCUGGAAUGUAAUCACUAUAAUUGUGAAGUAUGUCUGUAUAUGAAAUUUGAUGAUAAGAAUCUUAUGCAUAAAUAUCAUUUUCUAAACUAUAAAAACUUAAUGUCUGUUUCCAAAAACAUAUCAUAUGUAUUCAUUGUUGUC